rnacentral:rRNA from 1 species
GAUGAACGCUGACAGAAUGCUUAACACAUGCAAGUCGAUGGGGAAAUGGUGCUUUCCCCCUGGCAACCAUGGCGGACGGGGGAGUAACGCGUAAGGGACUUACCUGCAGGACUGGGAUAACAGGGGGAAACUCCUGACACGACCGGAUAAUGUCAUGGAGCUGCAUGGCUUUAUGAUGAAAGGAAACGCCUGCGGAGAGCUUUGCGUCCUAUUAGCUAUUUGUUGAAGUAAUGGCUCACCAAGGCGAAGAUAGGUAGCCGGCCUGAGAAGGUGGACGGCCACAAACGGACUGAGAUACGUCCGUGACGCAUCCGGCAGGCAGGAGUGGGGAAUAUUGCACAAUUGCGUCAACCAUGAUCAAGCCAUUCUGUGUGCACGAAGAAGGUUGUCGGAGUAUAACGUACUUUCAGAAGGGAAUAAGUAAGUAACGGUACCUGCAAAAGAAGCGACGGCUAAAUACGUG